CUACAGUGCCAACCUCCCCGAAGAGCUUCUGAGCCCACGCCUUCGGCCUCCCCGGCUCCAACGACUGAAAGCACCGCUUCGCGUCGAGGCCUCGUCGCACUAAACUCCACCCUCCCUCGCCUCCUCGCGCACUUCACUGACGUGCCCAAGCUCGCGACCAAGUGCGAGAUGACCCGGCCCUCAAGCUCAAUAUUUGGACGUUGCAACACUCUGAAUGAGAUGUUCCGUGUAUUUGCUUCAUUUGUGUUCAGCUACCCUUUUUUCUCUUGUUGGGGGAUUUGUUUAUAUCAUGAAUGUUGCAAUGGGUUGAUUUGAAUGUCGUGAACACAGAUUCUAUUUGUUUCAAUUACAGAAACUGUACAGAUUUGAUAAUAUGUCGAUGUUGCCAAAGGUAAUUUAUAAUUGUUUCAUCAAUGUAUUCCAAAUGUUGCAGUGCUAAUUUGGUAUGUCCUUGUGCUUUCCGAGUGUUGCAAUAGUUCAUUCCGUUUGUUGCAGUCAUGGUUUACAUAUGUUUCAUAUUUCCUACUUCAAAUAUUCAUGUU
rnacentral:lncRNA from 1 species